rnacentral:rRNA from 1 species
AGGAUGAACGCUGGCGGCGUGCUUAACACAUGCAAGUCGAACGGUGAAGUGAGGAGCUUGCUCCUUGCGGAUCAGUGGCGAACGGGUGAGUAACACGUGAGUAACCUGCCCUUGACUCUGGGAUAAGCGUUGGAAACGACGUCUAAUACCGGAUACGACUUCCGAAGGCAUCUUCUGGAAGUGGAAAGAAUUUCGGUCAAGGAUGGACUCGCGGCCUAUCAGCUAGUUGGUGAGGUAAUGGCCCACCAAGGCGACGACGGGUAGCCGGCCCUGAGAGGGUGACCGGGCCACACUGGGACUGAGACACGGCCCAGACUCCUACGGGAGGCAGCAGUGGGGAAUAUUGCACAAUGGGCGCAAGCCUGAUGCAGCAACGCCGCGUGAGGGACGACGGCCUUCGGGUUGUAAACCCCGUUUUAGUAGGGUAAGAAGCGAAAGUGACGGUACUGCAGAAAAGCACCGGCUAACUACGUGCCAGCAGCCGCGGU